rnacentral:lncRNA from 1 species
GGAAAACGCUGAAGGCAGCAGAGUUCUCCUUGCAUCCAGCGGGCAGUAAUGAACCAUCGAACGCUCUGCGUUUUUUCCAAAGUCUUCCACACUGUGUCUGGCGCCAUAAAAACUUUGCAGAGGGAUGCGUGAAAGGAGAGAUGGAUGGAUGGAUGUCGGGAAGUGACCUGAGAUCAUCCUGUCCCACCUGAUGUGCCCAAGGUGAUGCCACUUGGCAGAGCUGGCCUGAGAAACCGCAGUGCUGGGCUUCAGGUCCUGUGGCUUUGCUGGUGGAGGUCAUCGAGAGGACAUGACAGCCGGUUGACCUUCAACCUGAACCAAGGCAACUGGAGGCCCCUGCCCCCCUCCCCUUGGAAUGUCUUUGAAUUGUCUGCUCUGCCCACCGUUCCACAGUGGCAGCUGCUUUUGAGGAUGCAGCCUUGAGAGAGUAUGAUGUAUGCGACUGAACCCGUUCAGGCCUCUCUGUCAACUUUUGGAGACUGUGCUGGGUGGAAGCAGAGGUCCACCCAUCUUGAAGCAGGAGACAAGCCCCUCUGGGAGCUCUCUACUUACACGGCCUGUCAUCUACCCGUCCGGAGUGGCUGCCUCUUUCUUCCUUCUUUCCCUGCCCUCCAGGCACGAGGGCCAGUUUGAGAACCAACAGGCUUUGCCACUGUAGCUCAGCCUGACAUCUUUUAGCAAAAGACGGAACACAGCAAGUUUGUGUACAAUGCCAUCUCUGAAUAUGGCAAAUACCAACAGAAAGGGAGAAAAACUACAGUGCCUCGGGGGACCUGAAACUCCGCAGUCCCUGCGCUUGAAACGCAUAAUGAUUUUCAGCAGUGAUUCCACGCAUCCUGGUGAGGGAUCUUGUUAUCCUGGCGUGAGAAGGCGUCCAGCUAACACACCUACAACGGAAGCUCGGGAGUGGAAGGAGUGUGGAAAAGGAUAUCACAGGAUAGCUUUGUUUAACAGGCAGUUCCCAGAAGCCACCAUAUGACACUUAAACUGCUUGUGUUCCCUUUUGUCUGCUGAGAACUACAGGCUUGAUGGAAGACUCAAUUACUGUGGGAAAAGGACAGCGAGGGACAAUCAUCUGUCCUUGCCAACCCAAGAGAAAGGAAGAAUAAACACCGUCCUGCCAGCCCA